AUUCUCACUUCAUCAACUCUCACACCUGACCGGCACAUGCGACGGGGUGCCCACCCUGGAAUGCGCGGUUCGAACGCGCGAAUCCGGACGGGUCGUCGCAUGGGGCGGGUGGAGGCUCAAC
rnacentral:sRNA from 1 species